CCCACCCCUUGGCGCUCAUAUAACCUUAUGCAGUUGCGAGCGCCGUAAAACCCUCUACUAUAAAAAAAAAGUAUAUGAAGAAAUCAUAGUUUUGAUUUCUACCUGUCGCUGAUUGGAUGUUGUGUCCUUAGGAAAGGCUUUUCAUUAGGUGGGUUGAGGGCUCCACUGGUAGGUCCUUCUUCUUUUCUUUCCUACUGUUGUUUCUGUCUGUAUGAGUGGUCGGAGGGUGCCUCUGGUAGGUCCUACUUCUUCUCUGUUCCACUGAUGUUUCUAUCUGUGUGAGGGAUUGGAGGGCGCCACUGAUAAGUCCUAUUUCUUUCUUUUUUUUGUCCCCCACUGUUACUUGUAUUUCUGUCUGUCAGUCUUUUUUUUAAAAAAAGAAUCUGAUGUCAGCAAAUGUUACCAAUUCCAUUUACAUGUGUGGAUAUUUGCUGUUGGGUGUAGGAACAAAAGUCUUUUGUCUCAGUUGAUGCAACUGGGGGUUUUAAUUUUAAUUUCUUUUUUUUUUUUUUGGUCAGCCUGCUGUAGGUUACUUCAUCAUCUUGUUCACAGCCAGGUGACUGAUACCUCUGUCUGAAGUGGAUAGUUGGAGAGCAUCACUGGCAAGUCCUAUUUCUUUUCUUUCCCACAUCUGUUUCUGACUUUCUUUCUUACUGUUUGCCUGCAAAGAAUGUCUGUUUAUUGAGUUAACGUGUUUCUCUUUGUCUUCACUUAAAAAGAAAUAUCUAAAAAUACAUAUACAUAUAUAUGUAUGUGUGUGUGUGUGUGUGUGUGUGCGUGCGUGCGUGCGUGCGUGCGUGCGUGCGUGCAUGCGUGCGUGCAUGCGUGCGUGCGUGCGUGUGUGUAAGCAGUACUUUGUGUCACUCUUGGUUGCAUCUACUAGUAGUAGGCUACAAGAUUCCCUUCAGACAGAAUUGGUCUCUGGUUCAGAAUGACGUUUUUGUCUUUCACCAUAAAUGACCGCAAUGCCUUUCAUGUUGAUAAUGUAAGACUAAUCGAUUAAUUAACUUUGGACUCUUACCGUCCCAUGCUCUCAUUAUUUUCUGUGGCUUUGUAUUUAAAUUAUAUCUUGCUUGGCUCAAGCUCUUCUUUUAUGUGGGCGGUUGGAGGGUGUUGCUAUAAGGGCGUGUCGUCUGCUCAGCUGAUGUCAGUCAUACUGGACUACUGAGUAGAUGGCCUUAGUUUGAACCGCAUUGCUGGGGCACUGAGAACUUAUGUUGAUUUAGGGAGUUUUUAAGGCUCCCCUCCCAUUUGGCUAGGUCCUAUCGGACUCCACAAUUUCGCUGUUUCAUCGCUGGUGGGCCCUUCUUUUCUUUCCUUCUUUUGUUUCUGUCUGUCUGUCUUAUAUUUUACCAGAUCUAAAUGACCGUUAUUGUGUGAAUAUGCUUGUCUUUACUCAAACAAACAAAUAAACAAACAGAUAAACAAACAAACAAAGCUCUUCAGUCUUCCCUGUCAUCUGACUAGAUUAGUACUUGGAUCACAUCUUUCACUGAGAUAUUGCCUUAUGAUUAAAAAAAAAAAUAUCACUUUGCCGGACCAAA